GAUCACAUCCCAGUAUGCUGAACUGCACCAGAUUCUCACUGAGAAAGAGCAGCACACACUGGCGGAUAUCCGGGAGGAAGAGAAGAAGUUUCUAAAUACAAUGGAGACAAAUCUUGGAACCAUUCAAGAUAAUUUAAAAUCUAUUCAGGAGGAACUCUUAAAGUUGCAGCAACAGAUGGAUCAAAAAGACAGUGUGGUGUUUCUGAAGGAGGAAGCUGAUCGCAAGCGAAGGUUUCGUGAUGAAGCCAAACCACUGUCGGUGGU